AAAUCCCGGAAUUUUACCCCAAAAUCCCUGGAAUUCCACCCCAAAAAUGUCCCGGAAUCCCCGAAAUCCCUGGAAUUCCCUGAAUCUCAGAGAUUUCAGCCCAAAAUCCCAGGAAUUCGCCCCAAAUCCAAACUCGAUUUUCUUUACUGAGCUCCCCGAGCUGGGUAAAAAUCCCGAAUUUCCCAAAAUUCCAUCGAAUUUCCCAAAAUCCCAACGAUUCCCCCCAAAAUUCCAUCGAAUUUCCCAAAAUUCCAUCGAAUUUCCCCAAAUUUUUGGUUUUUCCUGGAAUUUUCGGCACCUGUGGGAGGAAGGGAGGGGUCACUGGGGUUACUGGGGUAACCGGGAGGGGUCACUGGUGUCACUGGUGUUACUGGGAGCUGUCACUGGUGUCACUGGUGUUACUGGUGUCACUGGUGUCACUGGUGUCACUGGUGUGACUGGGAGGGGUUACUGGGGUAACUGGGAGCUGUCACUGGUGUUACUGGUGUUACUGGUGUUACUGGGAUGUCUCACCCGGUGUCACUGGUGUGACUGGUGUCACUGGGAGCUGUGACUGGUGUGACUGGGAGGGGUUACUGGUGUCACUGGUGUCACUGGUGUCACUGGUGUCACUGGUGUCACUGGUGUCACUGGUGUGCCUGGGAGCCCCGGGUGUGGCCCAUACUGGUGUGACUGGUGUUGUUACUGGUGUUACUGGGAGCUGUUACUGGUGUGACUGGGGUAACUGGGAGGGGUUACUGGUGUGACUGGGAUGUCUCACCUGGUGUCACUGGGAUGUCUCACCUGCUGUCACUGGUGUCACUGGUGUCACUGGUGUGCCAGGGAGCCCCGGGCGCGGCCCAUACUGGUGUUACUGGUGUGACUGGUGUUGUUACUGGUGUUACUGGUGUUACUGGUGAACUCCGAGUACGGGCGCCAGCGCGGGCACAGCAGCGACCGGUACCAGCCCCGAACCUGCAACCAAACCGGUUUGGACUGGUUUGAACUGGGAACGGACCGGUUUGGACUGGUUUGGACUGGGAACGGACCGGUUUGGACUGGGAAUGGACUGGUUUGGGCUGGUUUGAACUGGGAACGGACUGGGAACGGACUGGUUUGCACUGGUUUGGACUGGAAACUGACUGGUUUGGACUGGUUUGGACUGGUUUGAACUGGGAAAGGAUUGGCUUGGACCGGGGCAGUUUUGGGGCUGAUUUUG
rnacentral:lncRNA from 1 species